rnacentral:rRNA from 1 species
UGGGGAAUUUUGGACAAUGGGGGCAACCCUGAUCCAGCGAUGCCGCGUGUGUGAAGAAGGCCUUCGGGUUGUAAAGCACUUUUGUUGGGGAAGAGAGGUAUCUUUCGAAUAAAGGGAUACUGAGACGUUACCCAAAGAAUAAGCACCGGCAAACUCUGUGCCAGCAGCCGCGGUAAUACAGGGGGUGCAAGCGUUAAUCGGAGUGAUUGGGCGUAAAGGGCGCGUAGGUGGUGAGGCAAGUUAGUUGUGAAAUUCCAGAGCUUAACUGUGGGGCGUCAACUAAUACUACCAUACUAGAGUACAGCAGAGGGGAGUGGAAUUUCCGGAGUAGCGGUGAAAUGCGUAGAUACCGGAAGGAACAUCAGAGGCGAAGGCGGCUCUCUGGGCUGAAACUGACACUGAGGCGCGAAAGCGUGGGGAGCAAACAGG